AUCACUUCUCGGCCUUUUGGCUAAGAUCAAGUGUAGUAUCAGUUUAAUAAAACAUAACUAAGCAAAACCUCA